CUUACUAAUUUACCCAAGAGGGUUAAAAUAGUCAUGUAGAUAGAUUGGCUGAUUGACAAUAAUUGAUGGUCUGCAUCAAAAAGACUGCAACCUGCAUGAACACAAAAACUGAUGAAUAAUGCAGGGAUUUCACUUCUUUCCUUGCCUCUUCUAAUUUCCUUUCUCUCUCACGUCUUUACUUGGGUAUGUGAUGUAGGGAUGACCAGAGACUACCGCAUCUUUUAUUAUUAUUAUUCCGUGAACCUGUGCAAAAUUCUCUGCAGUGUUCCUUCUGCAUUUCUCCACCUCCUUGAACACAGCCUCUGCCUUUUGCCUCUGCGGCAGUAUCUUCCACAGCCCUCUCUCCUCCUUCUCCAGGGGAGCAGCAGUAUGUUCAGGUUGCUGGCAGCGCAUCUUAUCUUGCAGAUCUCAGAGCUCCCUGCAAACCCCAUCCAGCUAGAAUUCCUUAAUAAGCAUGCAAGAAAAGGAAUUUCUGCUGUACUGUUUCUGUAUGCCAAGAUGUAGGGUUAAAACUUUCCUUAUUCUUAAUAUACCAUCUGUUUGAAGGCAUGGAAAUAGCAAGAUAAUAACUGAGCAUAACUGAAUGCUUUGAGCAACUAUAAGUUCACAGCAUUAGUGUUAUCCUUUGUUUUUCUUUAAUGCAGUUCCAAUACCCUAUACCAGACGACAUGGUAUCACAGAGGCAAGAACACUUCCCUGGGAAGUGAGAAAUCUGUGUUUUAGGCCCUCUUCAGCCUAAAGAAUUUGAAUAUGUACUUCUCAGCAAAAUGCCUAAUCAUGCUACAGAAUCAGCUACAACAGUGUUGUUCUCCAUCCGUCCUGCUGAAGCAGAGCCAAUGUGCAGCAGAGUGCAAGAUUAAUGGGAUCAGGGAGAGGCAAUCAGCAACCAGGAACUGUGUGCAGCACAGUGAGAUGAGUCCUGGAGAUUUUUGCUCCUUCUCCAAAUGAUAUUCAUGUAUUUUAGCUUAUGAUGCUUGAACACGCAGGACUAGCAGCAGGAAUCAGCUCUUACACCUUCAAUCAAGUUUAAUUAAAAGAAAAAAAAUCAUCACCUCAUUUGUACUUCCUUGUUAAUUUGCAUUAUGAGUUUCCUUCAACUUUACAUGCUCCUGGCUGCGCUGAACUGGAAUUAUAACAGCCUUCCAUGUGAUAGAUAAACAACUGCCUGGCAGGAUGAAGCAUUUGCUUUGCAGCUUCAGACGGGAGUUUGAAAGAAUGCUGCUGAUUGCAGUCUGUAUUGAGCAAAGCAGGUAAGCCUAUGCUUUGCUUUCUGUUGUCAGGACGUGAAAUUCUGAAGGAGGAGAAUAAAACAAGAAACAACACCGAAAGAAACAAGCAAAAAGACAGCAUCGACUGAAUAAGCAAUACACUCCUGUCUCUCGUCUCCUCUGAAGUCAUAUAAGCUGUCAGAAUUAAAUUCAAAUAGAUUUUUAACAUGCUUUUUUUCCUUGGUCUCAGUUUCUCUAUUUCAGUGGGCUUUGUCUAAAUGUAUCAUCAGUUGCACAUGGGUAAUUUCACUGCCAGGUUGCAGGCCUUACCGUGCCCAGCCUUUCUAGUACCCUAUGCACUACCUGCAAUAAGCAACCUGCAUGUAGCUGUGGUCUCUGCUACAGAAGCAUUCCAGCACCUCGUAAGAGGCAAGAAAACCUCUGGGUUUUCCAGUGUCUUCAACUGCAGUACUGAGCCACCACAAAACUUCCACAUUUAGACCCUGUGAAGCCUUUUGGCUUGCACUACUGAAAGCUCUCUUGAUUCCACAACUAUAACACCAUAAUGAUAUUAGAACAGAAGCACGAAGGCAAUGCUGCAUGAAGUCUCACAUCACAGGACACAGAAGUACUCCUUGUUGCAUCUUCUUGUUUGUUGUAAAUAACUAGUUGGGAAGGAUUUAGAAAAUAAAACCUUUUUAGCUUGGAGGACGUAAAACAGCUUUUCAAAUAAUGACCAAAGCAUAUUAUGUGUCUGACUCUUCCCCUUCAGACUGGAGACGUGGCUGCUUGAUAGUGCCUACUGACUGAGCAUCACACCAGCAAAUGACUGACAGUACCUCAACUGGCUAAUGAAAAACACAACUAAUAUUAGCAGCAUUCAUUCACAGAUGUAUCACUACCAACAAUCAACACUGAGUUACAAUCCUACUGCUUGUUAGCACUAGUAGUAGUAAUCCACAAUUGUGUUACUAUGAAGAAAAAGUAUAAAUCGCGCAUAAACCAUACACAAAUCAUACACAAGCUCUACUACAUUACAAUUGCCUUCGCUUCCCAGCUCAGUAUUAGGCUACAAGCACAUCCCUUUUCACCCCACCCUUCCAUGCCAGGUUUUUUGGAUGCAGACAUGAUGAGGGUUCAGUGGGUUGUCCCAAGAAGUACAACCUCCAGCAUCCUGGGCAGCCUGGGGCCACAGGUCAGCUGCUCCUCAAACACCUUCCCCUCUAGACUCUUCACCACCCUCAUAGCCCUCCUUUGGAUAACUGCACCAGUACUCAAGGUGAGGCUGCACAGCACAGAGCAGAGUGGGACAACCCCUCCCCUGCCCAGCUGGCAGCACGGGCCUGGAGCACCCCAGGGCACGGUCGGCCCUUUGGCUACCAGGGCACACUGCUGGCUCAUGUUCAGCUUGAUGGCAACUGGAACCCGAUGGCAACUGGAACCCUCAGAUCCCGAUCUGUAGGGCUGCUCUCCAGCCUCUCAUCUCCCAGAAAAAAUGGGACCUACUUAAUAACCAGCUCCUAAGUAUGCCUUCUUUAUUGGUCCCAGUUUUACUGCAUCAGUACUGAAAUGUAUUUCUAAACGUGCUACCCAAACAGUUUUUCCUUUAGCCUUGACUUCCCUGAAUAACUCUGAUUAAGCCAAGCGGUUUCUCACUUCAUGCAGAGGCAGCCUGCACAUCACAGCAAACCCAUUUUGUGCUCACACAGUAUCUCUGCCCUUGAAUGGUUAGUUGCAGUCAGCACUCUGGCUCCCAUGGAAGGCUUUAGCUGUUGUUAAAUCCCAGGGUUUGAGCAGGGCCUCUUGCUCACAGCAUGCUCCUGCUCAUGGCAGGGUUUCCACCCCACCGGAUCCCUGAACAGGACAAGGAGACAGUGCACACAUAGCUAAGAGAAUGUCUCUACUUUAAAGCCUCAUUACAGGCCUUUCUUAGCACAACAGGACACAAAAAAGGACAGACAUAAAGAAGGCAGAAACUGGUGUCUGCUGAUGGGCCAACAGGUAGAACAAGGCAGGUAACAGGCAGAAAGAACCCAGGCCAUAGAACGACCUCCUGCACCAAUCACUUCUUCUGCACAGAAGGGAGAAGCUGAAGUAGCAGCAGCAGGAGGGGUGAGAACAGCCAGCCAACCUCGCACUGCUGUCACCUGCCAGGCCUGCAGGGUCAGCAUGAGCUCCCAUCACCUGCACCAUCCUCUUCUGCUUGCGUGUGUGACCACUGCUCAACAGACAGGAAGGGGACCUGGAUUCAGCAGUGCUUCUCCAAUCGUUUUAACAAGUCUGGUUGUAUAAGCUCUUCAGACACGAAUGAAAAGGAGCUAAAUUUGCUUUCUGAUCACACGUUUCUGCUUGAGAAAUACAGUACAGCACAGAGAGCACAAACUUUUAAGGUUCAGUUGCGUAGAAUUUCCUGGGGAACCAAGAAAUUGAGAGGAUAGGACACAUGUGAGCUUAGGAGUUGAGACCCAUUAGCAAGGAGAUGUGCACUGCUGAGAAAAAUACUUCACCGGUGUCAGCAAAGGCACUACAUCUUACUGUUAAGUCACUUUUUCUUGACAGGGAGCACACAGCCUCCUCUUACUGCCAAAGCCUCAUUCGAUGCCAGCAGCCACAGCCAGGCUGCACUGCCAGUUGCCACUCUUCACUAUCGCCUGGCCUCUCGCUUUACUUUAGUGCCAAAAAUCUCACCUCUGUGCUAAGACCCACUGUCACAAGCCACUGCCAACUGCCAGUCCCCACUGGCUACUCUACGCUGCCUUGUCUCGCUGGCUGCAUCUGCACUGCAACCACAGAAUGACCGGUGCUCACACAGAGCUGUGGUAGCACUACCUGCAACCCCAGUGCAAGCAUCUCUGCUCCACAGGAGCAGCUGGUCCUGUGCCGCUGCAGGGUUAGCAGUGUGAUUCCCAAAGUGGGCUGAUGGGGCCGUGGCUCCAGUGCUUAGAGCGGCAGCCUUGGCUGAAGAAAUGCCCCACAGUUCCCUCCCAGUCCUACUGCUCCUUUCCAGUGCUACCAGAGAAGACUCACCCUUUCCCUGAAGACACCCUAAGGGAAUGCAUGAAGGAAUGCUGGCAGCAUGGGUGAUGUUAAAACCACCAGAUACAAAGGCAGCAGUUCCCAAGUGAUUAGGAACCGACAAGGGCAGCACACAGCUGCCCUUGAGGAAAUGGCUGAGCUGGGCCAAGCUGAACUGCAGUAGACACAGUGAGUGGGAUUUCUGAACUGCAAUAGACAGUGAGUGCAGACAUCUACAAUGUGGAAGUGAUUCAUCUCAUCCUGAAGAGGACAUCUGCAUUUGGCCACAUUAACUGCACUGUUACAGUACUUAUUUCUCUUCCUUUACUGAUUCAGAACAGUACUCUGCAAUAUGUAGCUCAGAUGCCUUCAAGUUUGAACAGAUCCAUCUUAAAUUGCAUUCAGAGGUAGUGUCACCUCUUCUGAGAGGGUAAAUCCUUCUGGAGGCUACAGGACUCCCUGUCAGAAUUUGCCAUCAAUCUCUCACUGUUACUCAUUUUCUUUUAAACUUCUGAACUUUCAGAACUUAAAAAAAAAACAAGAUUAUAAAAGGUCACACACUUUACCUUCAAGAAGCAGUACAUCCUGAAUGGUAAUACCGAGUGAUUUAUUCCAACCGUGUCUACAAAAUAACAAUCCCUUUUUGAUCUUUUGUUAGAAUUAAUUAGAAUUCAUUCGCAAGGCCUUCCACUUUGAUCUGUAAAUCAAAUUCUGACCCUGCCAGCAGCCUCUGAAAUAUUUAUUAGCACGGGAUUAUUAUCACAGCCUGAUCAUUGUCUGGAUUAUCCAGCUCACACACCAGCACGUUAUCGCUGAGGAACUCGGCCACAGUGUCUGUCAAAAAAGCAUAAUAGUAAUUUUUCUACAUCUCAGCCUCUGCCCUACUGUGGGUUUGUUUACCCUCAUGUUUUGGUUUGACAGCACCACUCCAUCUUGACUACCUCUUUAGCUUGCGACAGAGACAUUAUCUUGCCAAGCAAGAUUACAGAUCGAUAUGAUAAAAUCAAAUAAUGUUAUUAUCAAGAAGAAAGCUUCAGAAGAGAAAUUUAAAUUAUUCAUGGACGUCGUGUUUAUUUUAAAAACAGAGUGACUGAUUUACAGUUGUUUUCCUACAGGAGCAGGACUCCUUGCAUAUGAAACGUGGAACUGGGUAUGAUUUGGGGGAAAGACAUAACAUGUCCACAAAAGCACCCGUGUCAUGAAAAAGAUGGAUGGGAACUGAGCCAAAUACUUUUUCUUAACUAGGGGCCAUCAAAUUAAACAGUGCUCAAAACAAACAGAAUAAGUUAUUUUUCAUGUAGCAGGUUUUGGCCUGUGGAAUUCCUUAAUAAAGGACGUUGUGGAUGCCAGAAUUUUGCACAGUCCCAAGGAGAGAAAAGAAAUACUUUGAGAAUGGACUCUUCGGAAGUUAUUACAUCAACACAACGUCACAAAAAGUCCCUGAGAAUAGCUGGAAGCUGAGAUGUGCUAAGGAAAAGGCAUCAACACACACUGCCGCGUUUUCACAUUGCCCUGUUAGAGCCACUUUAGGGGACACAAUAUGGGACUAGAUGGACCCAGUGUGGCUGCUCCUAUUGUACAGAUGUUUACACUGCGCUUCCUCAGAGGUGCUACUUAAGGCUGGUACUAUUUCCUCAGGCAAAAACAUGGGGAAGUAUCCAGAGUCAACAUCUCAAUAACAGACAAGGAGAAAGGGCUUUGGCAGGGGAAGAAAUAAGGAGAAACAAUAGAGAUUGGAAAACAAGAAGUAAGCAGCUUGUUUUAAGUAAUUGGACAAGCAAAAGAGAGGAUUUGAAAAGGAGAUUACAAAGCAAGGAUUAGGAAAGUAGUCUUUCAGCAACACUUCAACAAGCAGGACAAGACUGUCAACAGCAGAGAAAAAGUAUGAUGAAACAAUCACAAUGCUGAAAGUCUUGAGCAAAAUUCUGCUCUUUCACCACACUGGCUCAGGCUGUCAGUCCACCUUGCUCAGUAGGGUCCCACUGACAGCACAGUAAUACGUGCAAAAGGAGCACAAGUUUAAGUUCUUUGUUGUUAGAAUGCAAAGCCUGUAUUUCAGAGGCUUAUAAAAUGCAUACAUAGCCCAAAUAUAGCCACAGCAAGGGAAUCUAGCACAUCCACCCUGCAUCUCAGGUAGGAAGCUCGCUUCCAGAGUUCACCGCAGCAAGCUCCUUAUUGCUCUGCUUUCUACCUUGCCCUGCCCACACUGCUGCCAGGGACACUGCUGGUGACCAAGAACUCUCUGCUGAGCAAGUACCUGCUGUACCCGGACGAGGGGGUUGAAGGGUGAGCUCUUCUCUGCUGUCUGGGCUCCUUCAUCAGGGCUGCCAUCAAGGCAUCCCUCUUGCUGUGCUUAUUUUAUCCCCGCUUGGAUGGAAGGACCCCUACAUAGAAGCAUUAUUUUAAGUUUGCAUCCAUUAAUUAAACUUGAGUAAUUAAACUUGAAUAACAAGCAGGGUCAUGCUAUUGUUCACAGUGAGUGGGGAAAAGGAAAUUUCAAGGCAGAGUUGAAAAUCUCUGCCUCGCUCACGCAGCGCCGCAGAUGACAAGUGCAAAUCUUUGAGGGGGGGAAAAAACGUCAGCAAUAUUUGUUUAAGCGCAUCUCUGGUUUUCAUCUGAGCACUGCUAAAUAUAAGCACCCGGAACAACCCCAGAAGGAGCCGUGACCUGGAGCUUUUGUCUACAUGCCAUCGCUGCCGGCUGCGAUGCAGCACACGUGUCCUUCUGUGGCACAGCGCGCUCCGGGUUCUGCCCGUAGCCAUGAGAUGCGCUUCAGUGCCCACCUGGCCCAGGGGUCCCCGCUCACCUGGCCCGGGGGCAGCGGGAGGUCCGGGCAGCGCUGUGAAGGCGCAGGCCUGAUUCCCAUUAGGCAGAGCUGAAAGCUGUCCUCCUGAUUCCUGGGCAGGCUCUCCACCCCUCAGGCUGCUCCGUCAGCCGUGACUAACCCCGCAUGAGCUUCACCAGGCAAGCAGCUGGAAAGGCUUCGAACGGGAGCACCUUAUCCUGACAUGCACCAGGUUGGGGACCUCCAGGGCUGCGUCUGCUUGGCUGAAGCGCCAGCUUUCACCACCCGGCCUUCCGACCAGUACCGCGCGGCCACGGCCACCCCCGCUCCGGGCUGCCCGGCACGAUGCGGACGACCC
ensembl:lncRNA